UGGGGAAUCUUGCGCAAUGGGCGACAGCCUGACGCAGCAACGCCGCGUGGGGGAAGACGGCCUUCGGGUUGUAAACCCCUUUCAGUUGGGACGAAGCUCGCUCGGUGAAUAGCCGAGUGGAGUGACGGUACCUUCAAAAGAAGCCCCGGCUAACUACGUGCCAGCAGCCGCGGUAAUACGUAGGGGGCAAGCGUUGUCCGGAAUCAUUGGGCGUAAAGAGCGUGUAGGCGGCUCGAUCAGUCUGCUGUGAAAGUCCAGGGCUCAACCCUGGAAUGCCGGUGGAUACUGUCGGGCUAGAGUACGGAAGAGGCGAGUGGAACUCCUGGUGUAGCGGUGAAAUGCGCAGAUAUCAGGAAGAACACCAAUUGCGAAGGCAGCUCGCUGGGACGUAACUGACGCUGAGACGCGAAAGCGUGGGGAGCAAACAGG
rnacentral:rRNA from 1 species